GGAUGAAGAACGUAGCGAAAUGCGAUACUUGGUGUGAAUUGCAGAAUCCCGUGAACCAUCGAGUCUUUGAACGCAAGUUGCGCCUCAAGCCAUUAGGUUGAGGGCACGUCUGCCUGGGCGUCACAUAUCGUUGCCUGAUGCCAGUUUCCUCGUGAUGGGUGACUGUGCAGGGCGAAUGAUGGCUUCCCGUGAGCAUUGUUGCCUCAUGGUUGGUUGAAAAUUGAGUCCUUGGUAGGGAGCGCCGUGAUAGAUGGUGGUUGAGUGACGAACGAGACCCAAUCAUGUGAGACCCCUACCGAAUUUGGCCUUCAUGACCCACAUGCGUCUUUGGAACGCUCAUGACGAGACCUCAGGUCAGGCGGGGCUACCCGCUGAGUUUAAGCAUAUCAAUAAGCGGAGGA
rnacentral:misc_RNA from 1 species